rnacentral:rRNA from 1 species
CUUCCGUAGGGUGAACCUGCGGAAGGGAUCAUUACUGAGAGGUCUAAAAAACCACUAGUUGGGGGUCUCUUCCCCUCUAGUAGUUCCUCACAGUUUUGUGCAAAGUCGGGUCAACUUGGUUGGCUCUGCCUUGUGCUGUAGAUCUGGUUGUUGGCAUAGAGACCCUCCUUUUAGGAGACUUGUGCCACUACUAAGAUCUAGGCUGCUUGAAAAGAGACGUAUGGACCCUUCUUUCAGGAGACCUAUGUCUCGAGUCAAAGCAAGCAAGGCAAGCCUUUGGGGCUCUAGUACUAACUAUCCCCAAAGGUGUUUAUUCUUCUCGUGUAAACCAUGAUGUACGAAAAAGUUAGUUGUUAACUUAAAAACAACUCUUGGCAAUGGAUCUCUUGGUUCUCGCAUCGAUGAAGAGCGUAGCAAAGUGCGAUAAUUAUUGCGACUUGCAUUCAUAGCGAAUCAUCGAGUUCUCGAACGCAUCUUGCGCCUAGUAGUCAAUCUACUAGGCACAGUUGUUUCAGUAUCUGCAACUACCAAUCAGUUCAACUUGGUUCUUUGAACCUAAGCGAGCUGGAAAUGGGCUUGUGUUGAUGGCAUUCAGUUGCUGUCAUGGCCUUAAAUACAUUUAGUCCUAGGCAAUUGGCUUUAGUCAUUUGCCGGAUGUAGACUCUAGAGUGCCUGAGGAGCAACGACUUGGUUAGUGAGUUCAUAAUUCCAAGUCAAUCAGUCUCUUCUUGAACUAGGUCUUAAUCUUUACGGACUAGCGAGAGGAUCUAACUUGGGUCUUCUCUUAAAACAAACUCACAUCUAGAUCUGAAAAUCAACUGAGAUCACCCGCUGAACUUAAGCAUAUCAAUAAGCGGAGGAA